CAGCCGAUGAUUUCUCGUUUUAUUAGUGAAUAAUGCUUCCAUAAGUGCCUUAAGAAAAAUUAUUAAUAGAACAACAAAUGUUUUUCCGAGAUUAUUCUUGGACCUCGUCCCUGGGUUUUGGUUGGGGGGGGGGGGGGAAUGCCUCAUUGUCUCUUUGUCGGUUGUAGAAAGAAACCACAGACAGACAGCCGGACACACACUCUCUCUCUCUCUCUCUCUCUCUCUCUCUCUCUCUCUCUCUCUCUCUCUCUCUCUCUCUCUCUCUCUCUCUCUCAAUCUCUCUCU